rnacentral:rRNA from 1 species
UACGUAGGGGGCUAGCGUUGUCCGGAAUCAUUGGGCGUAAAGAGCGUGUAGGCGGCUUGGUAAGUCCGCUGUGAAAGUCCAGGGCUUAACCCUGGAAAGCCAGUGGAAACUGUCAAGCUAGAGUCCGGAAGAGGUGAGUGGAACUCCUGGUGUAGCGGUGAAAUGCGCAGAUAUCAGGAAGAACACCAAUGGCGAAGGCAGGGUCCUGGCUGGCACCUGACGCCUCAUGUGCGAA